CCUCAGUGUGGCUUCAUAUCUGUGUAUGUUCCAACGAGAUUCAUUCACCUUGAGGAGUUUUUGCACAAAGCAGCGCUGACACUCAUUAGCCGAGUGGGUGAGUCAAGGAGUUCUCUCUCCAGGGGCACCCUGAGGGAGGACAGGUUCUCUCUAAAGUGAACUUCCCCUCUUUUGGAGGAUUUUUGCAAGUGCUAGUUAAACACCUGAAGGCCUGGCUGACUCCUGCAUAGAGACUGCACAACAGACACUGCAGCUGAAGCGUUGUUAAUUCAUCAGCAGGGAAGAAUCUAAUUGUUUGUUGCUCUGGUGACUGUCACGAUGACUAUGCAAACACGUCUUCCCCCUCCCUCUCCCCAGGUUCUGUGCCCUUUGAUUGUCCCUAAGGUCUUCUCUGAUUUAAGUUCAGCUGCUCUUCAUUUGCAUGAGUCAUCUCACUGGAUGACAAGGCAAGAGAAAAGGAGUGUGAGGGGACAAUCUGUCGGGCAAAAACAGACGCCUGAGCCCUCGGAAUGGGGCUUGUGUCUCUACUGCUCACCAAGACCUUUCCUGGGAGAUCUACUACAGAUGAGAUGCUGCCCAGUAAUUUCCCUCGACAUGUGUCUCAGGCUGCUGCAAGAUGCAUGAGGGCUCGGUGGGUUUCCCAGAUUCUGCUGCAGACUGAGAUCUUUUCCUGGUGAGCUCUGCAAACCAGGCGGACCAAGUGAUCCCCGUCUUUCCCAAAAGGAGCAAGGAAGCACCAAAUGAGGUACCCAGCUGGACCAAUCUGACACAGGCACCUUGCACUGAGGUACCCACAUGGAGGGAUCAGUCUUUGGAUAUGAGAUGAAGAAGAGGAGAAGGCUGAUUUUCCAAGAACCCCUCUAGAUCAUGGAAAAACAUGCUCUGCUUCCCUCUUUCAGGCUGACCUGUUUCCCCAGGACCCCUGGAAUGGGAGGGUAUCCACCAAAGGGAACACGUGGUGGUGGUGCUGGGGAGGGGAUGCUCUCUGCACGCCUGGGUUGGAGCUUGUGAGGCUGUCGGGUGUCAGGGCACUGAUACUGUGAGGUGUCAGUGAGCAGGAGAUCACCCUGAAUGCAGGGGGUAGAUGCAAAGCUAAAGCUGGGGUGGUGGUGGGGAAUAAAUGAUAAUUUAAUAUUUGAGAGGUAAGUGUUGGUAAUUAGUCUGCAACACUUUGAUCAUUAAUGCAUGCAAUCAAAUUAUCAUCAAGAAUGCUUUCCCACCAGCCACCCCUCCCUUUCCCCCGCUUCUCUCUCUUUAUUUUAAGGGCUGGCACACGGCAAAAGUUGACAGCACCAGCCCCAUCAUGCAGCCAGGACGCUUUCAAAGGAAGCUGCUGCUCCCUAGUGUUUGCAGGAUUCAGAGCUGGAGCCAAAAACUCAGGCAGGAAAGACCAAAUUCCCAAAGAAAGGCUGGGCAAUAAACUAACGGGCCCAGGCAGUUUUCUAUCCUGAGCACCAAUUCUUUGUUAUCUGCUUGACUGUUGAUUCCAAUCCCCAUGGAUACAGCUCAGGUUUUCCUGCUUUGAGUUCUUAAGUGAAAUUAAAAGCAUGCAGUUCAUUACUCAGUGCUCUCCUCUCUUCCUCUGAUCUUCUGGCUCCCAUCCAGGCACUGCUGGCCAAUUACACCACCGGGAAUAACCUGCCUUUUUUUCCCUUCACAUUUCUACAUACUCUGCAUCUUCAGGAAAAGGAGGAAGAGAUCACACCGGGCACUCUGUGAACUCUACCUUUCAACAAUGCUGUGAAUAUGAGUGGAUCAGUGUUCCUGCUCUGCAGCCACGGCUGGAGAUUAAUACCAGCUUUUUGUGAAUCCUGCAUGGAUAUCUACCCAUCUGUGUGCACUGUAUGCAUGUGUGAACAUGUGUGUGCCCGUGUGGCAGCUCUGCAGGGGCUCAGAGUUUGGCAGAAAUGGUUGGAGGAUAUUUUUCUUGGGUAAAUUCCAGUUCAGAAAAAUUACCUUUUUUUCCUCUUUUUUUGUGGAAGUUCACCAGCUUUGGUACUGGGAAUUUGUAAGACAGGGAAAGAGGAAGAGUUGGUAAGAGGUGGUAAGGCUUUCGAAGGGAAAUGCGUUUCUAGUCCAAUAUUGGGUUUUUUAGCUAAACCAGAAAGUGCCAAUGCCCAGUAAAUUGAGCAGUGGCUGAUACCCCAAACCUCUUCUUGGGUUGCCAUGGAAAAGAGUGAGAAGCAAGAGGUCAGUAGCACAAUGUACUUUCCCAAAGUCAGAGAAAAUCCUCCUCUGGACUGUGCCACCUGAAACAUCCCAGGUCAACCUGAAUCUCGCCAGCACUGUUGGUGAUCCGAUCUCCUUUGACAGCCACAUCCUAAAGGAAAGGCAAAUGAAUGCAUUAAGAUCUCCCUGGAUGUUUUAUCCAGCCAUCUAUCAGGAUCCCCUGAAUAGUAUUUUGUCUGCAGAGUUUAACAUCAAAGACAUGGAAAGUCAAUGGGUUGACUUCCUUUAUAUUCCCAGAAUUAGAGGUCAAAUCAUGCUUGAUAACAAUAUUAAUCUAUACACACGUUCUUGAUAGGCAUAAUAAUAAUUGGUAGGUGACAGGAAAUGCUGGUGAAGGGUGCACUGAAAUUCAGGCCACUUAUCUAGGCUUUCAGCACGGCCUGAAGCAGGACCUACAUUUAAGAUUUUUGGCAAGCCCAAAAUACUUCUUUUCAUUACAUAAUUGGCCUGUAACUCUAAUGAUGAUAGUGGAGCUGCUCCAGAUUUAUACUAAUGUAACUGACAGCAGAUUUUUGGCUCUGAGUCUGUAAGAAAAAGCUUGCCAUAAAUUCAGUAUUCAGACUAUCCUUUGUAGUUUCUCCCUUUUCUCAGGGAGGAAGCAAGCGAUUCUCACUUUUCAGAUUCAGUUCCUUUCUGUAAUAUUUUCUUAUGGUUACUGGGGGUUAGGUGUCAUUCAGCUGACCUAUUUAAGGUAGGUGAGCUUGAUUGGAGACCACGUUCACCCCCUGUAUAACAAUGGAGAUGUUCCAUGUGCACUGUUCCCAGAAUAGCUCCCCCCAAUAAUUACUACUCUCAGCUUGUUUUAUGGGCUACGCUACAGAGGCUAAAAUUGACUCAAGUUUGAAGAAUGUCUAUUUAAGUAUCUUUUAAAUUGUGAAUGUUUAAAAGAGCGGAUUUUUGAGCGCAAGCCUGGGCAUUUUUUAUUUUAACAUUACAUUUAAUGGUGUCUUUGGCAUUUAAUGUGAGGGGGUGUACGUGGUAUAUCUGUGUGUGUAUGUUUAUAUCUAGAGAGAGAUAACUCAUGUGGAAUGAAAAUCCAUUUAGCAGAAAAAUGAGAUCUCUUGAGUGUUUGUAUUUUCUGCUGCAACUAGAAAACACUAGUACUAUAAAAAAAUAAAACACAGAAUGAUCUAAA